rnacentral:misc_RNA from 1 species
AAUCCACCCAGAAGUGGUCCCAUCCAUGCCAAGUUUUAAUGAGAGCAUGGCGGUGGAUUUCACAACUCCAGCAAGUCGGAUGGCAUCCUUAACUUGGUAAUAUAUCUCCCUCUUUGGGAAGACAGCUUGCAGAACGCGAUUGGCAGCUGCCUGCAACAGAGGCUCUCUGUCACUUUCAAAUACUGUUUCUAACAAUGGCUUACACUUCAACUUGCUCAGCUCCCCUUUAGCUUCCUCAACUUUUGAGCAACCUUGUGGUUUGCACAACGAGUAGAUUCUUGAUAAAAGCUUCAGUCCAGCAGCCACAACCUGUUCCUCCAGUGAUGCAGACUGUGUUGCACGACACUUCCUCCUAGAUCCAGCAGGCCAUGAAUUACAACCCAGUACACGAGCCUCCAUGUCAAGAACAGCAUCCAUCUUCUCUUUCCACCCAAAUUCAUCCUUAGCUCGGCCAUAAAUUUCCAAGGAAUCUAUGCGGGGUAAAGCAGAUCCACUAAAUGUAGGCCCAACAGAUAUUAUAAAUUCUUCAUCAGCAAGGAGUGACUCGGCGAUUGUAAACGGAAUAUCAUACCAAGAACGCAUUCCCUCAUCUAAUUUUAUCCCUCUCUGAAAUACAGUUAUCUCAGAAGGUAUGUGAUUCACUGACGUGUUACCCACAUGCAAUCGCAGACCAACCAUGACAAGGUCAGG